AAAAGUGAGACGUGGAGGGAGUGAGUGACUUGACUCACAUCACACAACCAAUUAGCAGCAGAACCAGAACGACUCCUGACUCUGACUCGGGGAUCCCUUUUUGGAGACGUGAAAGAGUGAGAAACUGAGGCUCCACCUCGUCCAGUGGCCACAGACGCUGCAGUCUCCAGAAGUCAGUACCCCCUCCUGCUCCCACAGGCACAAGUUCACAGAGGGACCUAAGACUCAGGUUUUUAGAAUUGUAAAUCCUUCCGGGAAGAAACAACAGUGGAGUCAGCAUUGGAGAGAGAAGCCCUUGGAUUUUGACAAUGCCUG